rnacentral:rRNA from 1 species
UACGUAGGGUGCAAGCGUUAAUCGGAAUUACUGGGCGUAAAGCGUGCGCAGGCGGCUUUGCAAGACAGAUGUGAAAUCCCCGGGCUUAACCUGGGAACUGCAUUUGUGACUGCAUGGCUGGAGUGUGGCAGAGGGGGGUGGAAUUCCGCGUGUAGCAGUGAAAUGCGUAGAGAUGCGGAGGAACACCGAUGGCGAAGGCAGCCCCCUGGGCCAACACUGACGCUCAGGCACGAAAGCGUGGGGAGCAAACAGG